rnacentral:rRNA from 1 species
CACGUAGGGGGGCAAGCGUUUGUCCGGAUUCAUUGGGCGUAAAGAGCUCGUAGGCGGCUCAGUAAGUCGGGUGUGAAAGCCCUCGGCUUAACCGAGGAAGUGCAUUCGAAACUACUGAGCUUGAAUACUGGAGAGGAUCGCGGAAUUCCCGGUGUAGAGGUGAAAUUCGUAGAUAUCGGGAGGAACACCGGUGGCGAAGGCGGCGACUUGGGUAGAUACUGACGCUGAGGAGCGAAAGCAUGGGGAGCGAACAGG